rnacentral:rRNA from 1 species
AUAUUGCACACUGGAGGAAACUCUGAUGCAGCGACGCCGCGUGAACGAUGCAGGCCUUCGGGUCGUAACGUUCUGUCCUAGGGGACGAUAAUGACGGUACCCUCGGAGGAAGCACCGGCUAACUACCUGCCAGCCGCCGCGGUAAUACGUAGGGGGCAAGCGUUGUCCGGAUUUAUUGGGCGUAAAGGGGUCGUAGGCGGCCGUUUAAGUCAGAUGUGAAAGGUCACGGCUCAACCGUGGUAAGCAUUUGAAACUGAAAAGCUUGAGUUAAGGAGAGGAAAGUGGAAUUCCUAGUGUAGCGGUGAAAUGCGUAGAGAUUAGGAGGAAUACCAGUGGCGAAGGCGACUUUCUGGACUUAUACUGACGCUGAGGCACGAAAGCGUGGGGAGCGAACAGG